rnacentral:lncRNA from 1 species
GGGUGGAGGGGUUGAAGGGAGGGCAGGGGAAUGGGUAAAGAAUAAGAACCAAGAGAGAUUAUGUAAUGGUGCAUAUUUCCAAUGAUGAAUGUCAUUAUAUUGUAUACUUAAAAUGUACCAAUAAAAUUCAUUUUUUUAAAAAAAGUGUGCAUGGCAUCCUAGAGGGCUGUGCCAGGGUAUUGCCUAUGAGCUGGUGCUUCAGCUAUGGGUGCAAAAGGCAGUUCCAGCUGGUGUGCUGUCAUCAGUGGAUUUUAUGGCCUGUGACUCAUUUCUAUAACUCAGCAGGCUGGCCCACUCCUAUUUUUCUCUCAUUAUAAUGGCAUUUACCUGGUUUCCAAUAAGAGUUAAGACUGCCACCUUGUCUCUAUGAUUUUAGGGUCCUAUGACCCUCGUAUAUCUAGAAUGUCUGAUACAUGGAUACAUCAUGCCCACUGGUAUCCACUCUUCUCUUCUGGUUCAUCACUGGUGAAAGUCCAACUAGUUGCACAUCAGGAGGAGAUAUGUUGUUCCGCCUUAUAGGCAGCCAGGUUUAGAAGCGGGCAGGCUGGAGGCAAGGAGACAAGAACCUCUUAUGUGAGAGCCAUGGCAGUGGAAAUGGAAAGCAGCUGUGUUGCUACAGGGCUACGGAACCCAGCUGUCUGCAGAGAACGUGGUGGGUCACGAGAUCUGAGGCUGGACUUUCUUCUGGAGACCAGAGACUUAGGGUCCUAAAUCCUUAUCAUUCUGUCUUGAAAUACAAGUGUACAAAUACUUGCCCAAGGAUGCUGCUCAUUCAGCACUUUUAAAGUACUGAACAAUUGGAAACCCUUCUGUGCACCACUAGGCAGCUCUUUAUCAAUAUGGAAUGUCAAGCCUAAAGUUCUAUGCACAAUAUAAUGCCUUUCAUGUAAAAAACCUUCCCCUGGAUUUCCAUUGAUAGGUAAUAAAUUAAAUGCACACAUAUCCAAUUUCAUGCAUCCCAUAUUCUUCUAAACCUUCAGCAAGGGGAUUUGUUUCUUCUCAAAAGAUAAAUUCACGAGAGAGAAGAGAACUGAAGAGGAGACAACAGGAAAACAGCAAUAAUUUUCAAGUGGGAUACUUUCACCUGUGUGGCAGCUUUGAGUGACAGCCUCUCUCUGAUCUCGGCACCCACUCGUAGGCUUGUUCCUUGGAGAGAAGCAAGACCUUCUGCAUUUAGGCCAUCAGGCCCUUUAAAUGUUGAUGGUGCCAUGCUGGCAGGAAAAGAGGAUGCUGUGAUUCUUAGCCCCUUCCCCACAUGACUUGAUUCCCACCUGCUGGCUUUCAAGCCUUCACUCUUCAGGAAGGAGGUUGAAUCUGAGGAGAUAAGGAAAGACCCAAAGAUGCUGGGAACAGAGGUGACCAGUAAGUGACCUAAUCAGGCCAGCCCUCAG